UGUGUGCGCGUGUGUGCGCGUGCGUAUGUGUGCAUGUGUAUGUGUGUGCAGAUAUUUUGCUUUUUGCUAAGUUUUUUUAUUUCAGUUGUUAGAUGUUUUUACAAGAAGUAGGCUUUUCUGAUUUGUUCUGCUGCCUGCCUUUGGAAAGACUGGACAGCAUUGCAUUCCCCUCUUUGCAAAGAGUUCUUCAGGCUGUCGUGUCGUAUGUCCUGUGUAUUUGAUGUUCCUGCAGGAAAGCAUGCUAGUUUGCAAGCUCGAACUGCAAGCAGGGUGCUGUGUAUUUAAGACCCCCCCCCCAACACUUUUUGAAGAGGUUGCAACUUUCACUUUGUCACAUUUUGGGGUGGGGGGAGAAGGAAGUCAUCGACUCAGUCAGGUAACCAGCUCUCAAAUUAAAUUUUAAUUGCAAAAAGUCAAAGUCAGCAGCAUUAAAGCUUAAGGAGGAUGGGAGCUGACAUUUCUUGCAUAGAGAAUUUGCUACCACUGGGAAUAGACUGAAAGCCCAUAGCGGGGGCAGGGGGGAGCAGGCUAAAUAAUAAGAAAGUAAAUGAUGAGACAAAAUACUAAUUAAAGUGAUGCAAGAAAGUGAGAGGCUGUUACAAGCUCUAACCACCUGUAGAGGGAAAUCUUUAUACACAGUAAUUUCUGAUAGCUGAUCUAUAGAGAAACUGAAGAGAAUUAUAUGUUCCAAACUUUGCUGCUCUGCAAUGUGCAACCUGAGAUGCCAAGCUGCUCGGUUAAUUCUUGGGGGCUUCCAAACUGCAGAGCCUGUUAGAUUGGGAGAAACAGUUUAGCAGCUACUGAGUCUUAGUCUCCACCUUGGCUGCAGCCAUCUGUGGUGCAUGUCCUGGUUCUCUUUAACGCUGCUGCACUUGACGUGGUUAUCAACAGAUGUCUUGCCUGAGAAGAGUGGGUUUGAUUUAUUGUUAAUUUCAAGCAGGUUUCUUAAUUGGGAAAAGUUGGAUGGUCUUCGCUGUCUGAGGGGAAGGUUUCCAAAGCAGCUGGGGUGGGGACCGAGUCCUCUAACCAAUGGAAAGCCUUGUCCCCUCAAAGAACCCUGCUCAGCUUCUGUGUAACCAGAAGAGUAAUAGCUAACGCCAUGUGGUAACUGACACAGGGCAAAAUGUGAAUAAUGUGCCACACCUUGUGCAGUGCCUCUUCUGCUGAGGAACCUCAGGGCACUCAGAGGAGCGAUGAAGAAGUCCAGCCUCAGCGGGGAACUACCAUGCAACUGAAGGGUGAUGGCCAAAUCCCUCAGAAGUGUGAGGUGGCACUGGAAGUCAAAGCCAUGGCAGGUGGCAGGUUGUACAGAAAGUAAAAAAUGAGGUGGUUUAGAGGCAGCAUUUUCUCUUCUCACUUGUUCAUACACUAUUUUCACCCAUUAUCAUGAAGUGCAGGUCUGUCAGGAAUGGGCUGGGGGUUAUUAUACGAAGCCCUUUCCUCUUAAUUCUCCUGUCUACAGCACCAUCAGUCCACCUCCCCUGCAGAAAUAUGGAGAUCUUAAGAUAGUUCAGCCUUGAAUCACCUCUACUGCCAUCUAUUUGCCCCUCAUCUGUCAUUUGCCUAUCCGAUUGAGAAAAGUCAGAAAUCCUGUGGUUUAUUGCUGUGAAUCCUGAUGCAUACGUCAUUGAGGUCAUCUGAUUAGCGAGAACUGCAGGAGCUGAAACACCACAGGGAAAUGCCACUCUCUUCUUUCCUCUGCAUAGCUUUACAACAGCUGGAGUCCAUCAUCUGGGGGUGCUGGUUUAGAUCCAGCCUGUGCCCUCAUAAUAUGCAUUAGUGCCUCUGAUUUCUGGUUCAACAACCACAUACCAUCUGCCAAAAGAGCAAGUUGUUCACAACCCUCAUUUUCUCAGGUUUGGGCUUCAUCUGUUUUCUUUCCUCUCUUCCUCACCCCACUCUCAAAUCUUUGACUGAUCUGGAUAUUUGAGUGUUUUGAAAUGUCACCAGGUUCGAACAGCUUCAGGAGAUCCUUGCUUGCUGCUUCAAGGAAACAGUCUGUGACAGGAUGACUCUGUUUUCUUUAACUCCUUUCACUUCCCCUUCUCUGGGAACUUCUGAGGUCCUACACAUCGUCUUCUCAGUGCAAACUCUCUUUAACCCAGAUACUCUCACAUCCACUUCACCUAUGAGUCACUGCACUUUCUAGCCUACAAUUACAUUUGCAUAUUUUGUGCAAUAGGGGGAAUUCUCCAGCUUGCACACAGCUCAUCUACCUUCCUGCAGCAUUCCAGAUGCUGUGUCUUUUCAUGUCACUUUUAGAAGGAUUCUCUGUAUUGGAACAGCUACCUCUUUUUCCGCCAUGUCCUUUCUCUCUACGUCCAUCUCCUCCUGGUCCAGCAAUGAAUGGGACAACACCAACAAAAGAUCUUCCCCUGAAAGUGCUUAUCUAGGUUUAGAUGCUUGUGCUGAAUGAUAUGCCUUAUUAAAGUUUAUCCUGCUUUGUAUGUUCUUCUGCUACUCUUGAUUUUCUUACAUCAAACUAUGUCCUGUGAUGCCGCUUACCUCAGGGAGGCUGCAUAAACUAAUUCUAAAAUGAAGUUUUCAUUCAAGAUAGUGGUAACGUAUGCCACCAUGCAACAUAUUAAGAGUGGCAGGUGGACAGCCAUGUAGAUGAAAACGUAGCAUUUCUUCUCAUAGUACCUCUCCAGAUUGUCCUAACAGUAAUUGCAUAGUACUAUCUAGAUACAAUCUUCAUAGUAAAUGAGCAGUUAAACUUGCACUUUCUUAGAAAAACCUUCAGAGAGGGAACCCCACACUACCUUACAUAGUCUAGAAAUAAGCAAGACUCAUCCUUCUACUCAACUAUGUAUGUGGUAGGAGGACUGGACAAAAAUCAGUGUUGGUAAGGUAGAACUAUAUUUCUUUCAUCAAGUAUCUUAUGCUAUUUUAUGACCAUUGAUUAAUCAGGUUUCAUUUGUGCUAAAUAUUGUACUUUAUGAGUGGAUGUAUGGAAGAACAAAACAUUUUAUCGCUUGGACUCACCUUUGGAUUAUAAAAAAAGGAAGAAGAGGGCACAAGUCCACAAACUAUCUGGCAGAAGUAUUGCCCUCUUCCAGUUUCAUUGCAGACCUCUCUGAAAGACACUUCAUUGACACUCAUGUGCAGUCUCACUUCUAGGUUAGUUCACCUCUACUUUCUCAUUUGAAAAACUGAUAUCAAGCCAAAAUGAGGGGCCCCACUCAUCCACAUAUUCCAUGGAGUAUUUUUGUUACUCUAUGAUGUUUUUCCCCUUUGUCACAGAGGCACCCCUUGAAACAACAGGGUCACAAAUCAGAUUUUAAUAUUGUCUCAUGUCUGAUAUCUGCUUUAUUGCAAUGCAUUCUUGCAGAUUCUUGGUGUAUAGAAGAUUCCGUUUCUUCCGCUUUUCACUUCUAGUCACUGGCUUCCCAUUGACUUCCACAGUGAGAUCGAGUGUGAGGUCUUGCAUCUUGCUCUUGCCACUUGUGACUUACCAAUCCUCUUUGUUCUACCCAAGAUCUCCUUCCUAUUGACUUGUGUCUGUCCCUUACUGUGGUAUUACCAAAAUGAGCUGCAUAACUGGAAUACCUUUCUGCAAAUACCACUUUAAAUUUUUCCAUGUCUCUUCCAAAAUACAAAACCAUGCAACCACACAAGUAAUUUUCCUCUGUUCCUCUAUGGGAUUCUGUCUUUGUUCUGUGCCCUUCCAUUUGGAUUGUAACCUCAUGGGGCAGGUACUAUAUCUUGUUCAUUAUUUUGUACCCACCACACCAAGGGUGGUUAGGUAAAAAUGACACAAUCCGUCAUUAUUUUUAUUUUUCUUACCCCUGAGUAAGGAUCAGCUUUAUUUUAAUGCCCCAACCUUCGUUUUUGGUUGUUGGCUCCUGGCUAAAAUGUGCCAUGUGUUUACUUUUUGAUUCUGUGUUUGCACAGCAUCCAGCAGAAUGGGAUCUUAAUCUGUGAUUGCCAAUAUAUAAUAACAAGGCUCAUGUUUGAAAGUUUAACUUGUGACAUAUGUUGCUAAUGUAAGGAGCAAUCAACUGAUACAAUAUUAAAGUAAAAAAAUCAACAUGUUUCUAAAUGUAGCUCAGUACUCAUUGUCAGUCUUGAACAACAACUCAGGAUAGCUUUUAUAUGCAAACCUUGAACUACUCAGAAAAUCCUUACAUGGAAUCUAAUUCAGACUUUGUAUAUCUGUUCAUGUAGUCCUACAAUAAUUGCAAUUAUUGCAAAAACAGCACCAAAAUUAUGAUCUAUGAGGGACUUGCAAAAGUAUAUGUGUUUCAUCAGCUGGCUCUGCAGCAGGCAUUUAUAGCAAUCUGUUAACAGCCUGCACUUCUCUGUUGCUCAUCCAUGCAUCUCCAGAUAUUCUACUAAUACUCAAUAAGUUAUGUAUGAUACUCACUUCCAUCCAGUUCACAUGAUGAGCUGGGUAAGUACUAAUGCACAUCUCCUGACAUUAAGAUAAUGUAAAUGUAGCCACACCAAAGAACAGAAACACAGCUGCUACCCAUCCUUUGCUUUGGUGGGUCCAGUGAAGAGGGGACAAAAUGGAGAAAACUGCUGUGGUUCCAUUACACACCUCUGGUUGUUCCUUGGCUGAUGAUAGUGAUGGGAUCAGGUGUACACAAUUCAGUGGUGUUUCCAAAUACUAUCUUAAGGGCCUAUACUCUUCUGAGUAUUGAAGUGUGUCCUUUUUCCUGUAGUCAUUCAUUUGGUAAAGUAAAAGGACAUGAACUAUCGUAACUUUUUAUAGAAAAGAUUCAGCAGCUGGGAAAAUAAAAACCAUUGCUGCUUGGCCAGCUGGUCCUCCUGGGACUUCCACAAGUUCUCUACACACUGAGGGUUUGCCAGUCACAGUCAGGGAACCAGUGGCUUAAUUUGUAAACUCUGCAUAGCAAAGACAGCUUGGAUCCAAGCAGAAACAGCUUGCAUCUUGGUGCCAUUUAUAGGGUUGAACUUGCUAUUAGCACGCAGUGCAUAAAUGUUAACUGGUGAUAAAAAUAGAUGUUCAGACAAAAAGUCAUACAUGAUCUAGAUCUUGUGCUUCAUUCAUGUUUUAAUUUUCCCUGAUGUUAUUGGAAACCACUUUGCCAGAUGUUUCUGCCCUACUGAAUGUGGAUUUCUGGACGUUUUAGCUCUAGCUAGAUAGGAACACCAGAACUACUGAAUGGUGUGAAUUUGAGAUAUAUUUACCCACAAAGGUAAGUAGAGAAGUGACUGGUAAAAUUGCCAUCCUAUCCUGGUUUGACUAUCCAUUGGAUUUUCUGGCUCAGUAGCCAUUUCGUGUUGUAAUUUUUGGGAGCUUGACUGAACUGCAUCAUAGGGAAGAACAAAUCAGAGGCAACAAACUAGGGAAGAACAGUGUUACAGGAGCAUCAGGGUAAGAGCUCAUAAGGCCAUGUCCUCAUAACCCUAGGCAUCUCACCUUGUCGUUCACCUCAUCAUCUAUGAAAUGCAGCUAAAUGAAUGUAUUUUCUUUUUCCACUGCACUGUCUUCUUCCUUGAAAGAACUUGAUUUUUUUUUUAAUUUGAUUGGAUCCUUCGGCUUCAUGUUUUAUUGUCUCAAUAAAUAAAUUCUUCCUAAAUUACUUUAGUAUCACCCCACUUCAUAUCCCAUUCUCUCCCACUGGUUAUGAUACUGACCAGCUUGAGGUAAAGACUGACACAGAUUUUGGCACUUCCUCAUCACUGCCUUCUCUUUUUUCUACCAGCACAAGAUCCUGUAUAAUGCACCUCAAAGUGUUGUCUUAUCCUUUUGUUCUUGUUUAUUACUCUUUCUUUAGGGUGGCUGCCAGAUUUGAGUGCACAUUAUGUUAAAGGUCAUGGGUCUUAUUAAUGAAAUUUCUAAUGAAAAUCAAAUCUUAGUGUAAAGGCUCAUCAAAUUCGUAGCAGGAUUCUUCAAAGAUUAUGUUCCAUGUGUCUGAAGUAUGAUGCCAUGCCUAUUCACUGUAUUUCUUCCAUAGGUUCAACUUUAUUCAAAACUGGUAUGAUUUUCUAUCCUCAACAUCUUAGUACUCUUUUCUACCAGCUUCAUUAUGCUAAUGGUUUUCUUCUUUUCACCCCUGUUACACAGAAGUAUGUCUCUAGGGUCUGAUUUUGCAGCCAUUGGAGGAAGAUCCAGUUUCUAUCAUUUUGCAUGUUAUAGCCAUGAUAUAUCUCUAUAAUGUAAACAGAAAAGCUGAAGAUAACAAAGUGACCGAGGUAUACUGGCAUUUCAACCCAAAACUGUUCAAAGUAUUUGUUAAUGCAAUCUGUGUGAGAUGACAUUAGCACAUGAGUUAUCUAUUUUAUUGGUUUCCUGGUCUGUGCAUCCAGAUUCUCCAAAAAUUUCAUAAAUUGAAGUCUUAAUAUGUCCUUGAUCUUCCGACACAGGUGAGAUUUUCUUUACUAAAAUACUGCACAGUCUCUCAUUCUGACGUUGGAGGAAAAGCACUUUUUUCUUCCUUAUGCUUCCUUGUAUGCUCUGAUCUCUCUGAUUAUUUAUAAUAUUGCUGUCUUCUUACUGAUGACUUUUAUUGAUUAUCUCAGUGCUAUAGAUAUCUUCAAGAACAUGCUGGUUAGGUAAGUAGGCAUCGUCUUAUCUUCAUUUCAUGGGUGGAUAAACCAAGCAUAAAGUGAUGGGCACUUCACCUGAAAUUUGAGGAGAACCUCAAAAAUAUUAAAAGAAAAAGCCUUUCCAUGAGAAAUUUCAGAUCAACACUUGUUGCAGCAAAUUUGUGAUUAGGAAAGGAAUACCUAGAUCCUAAUCUCCUGCUUAACUAGCAAUUACUCUUCUUCAGGUCCUUUCACUAGUUUAUACUUUGCCACCAAUAGGCAGUAGUUGAAUAUAUGUUGUUCUAACUUAUUUCCAUUUCAAUGUAAUUACUCUUUUCUCUGGGUACUAUAUUGUGCUGUAAUAAGAGUUAACUAGUAUAAGUUAUUGAUUGCCCUGAUACAAGGUGAUUUAUAUUCAAAAAGCUGAGUUUUUUUGUGAGCUCCUGUUAUAUCUUGGUAGCACUUCACUCUGUUUCUGGUCUUCUACUCUCCUUAUAUUUAGAACAUAUCACGUGUCAUUCAGGUGUCCAGGUGAACUUGCCCAGGCCAAGAGCAGACUCUGUGGGAGUAAUACUGGGUUAGGAGAAUAUGUUAUAGUGAUUAUACUAGUGAAUCAAUCCCUGGCUCUCAGGUCAGCAGAACUCCAAAGCUCUGAGGAGGUAACUCUCAAAACACAACAAAAUGUUGUUCGCUAUUUUCCCCUUGUUUUCUGGUGCUCUCUCCAGCUGAUCCUUACAUCUUCCAAAAUGAGAAAGAGAUGGAGCCUUGAACUUGCUGGAUCAAAACCCCAAAUAAGUAAUGAAUGCCACUAAAAUAGUUUUUUCUCGAAAACUAAACUACUUGGUGUCAGAUCAUAGUUGUUUUGAGCGGCAAUUUUGGGCAGGCUAAUACUUUGCUUCUUCUGCAGGCUAAUACUUCUUGUAGUAGUAUCCCAAUGUGUGCCAUUGUCUGUCAGGGCAAAGUCUGGAAGGGAAAUUGCCAAGAGUGAGGACAGUCAAGUUUGCAGACUGUAUUUGUUAGAGAUUGGGCUACCCCCUUUGGCAUCUCCAGCAGGUCUAAGAGAAGGGCUGUGUACCUGCAGCUGGUGGGCACUCUGCUGCUUCAGGCAGUACCAGCAGUUUUACUUUUCAGUGGAGGAAAAAAUACAGGAUCGAUGGCUUUCAUUAAGACUUCGUUGGUCAAGAGGCUUAAUUGUUUGGCAACAAGGAGAAUGCUGAUAACUAAAAUAUCAGGAUAGAAGAAGAAUUUUCCUUUUAGUACUUCUAAUGAUCAGGAGAAGUGGGAACUGCUGUUUGGUACAUGAUUGCCUGCCAAACAGUCUUUCCAGUUUGGAUGGUUUCCAUUUUUUUUUUUUUUUUUUUAAGGCAGAGAUUCCCUGGGCACUGGACUUUGCUUCCACCAAGCCUUUAGCAGCAGACAGACAAGACAGGAGAUGGUUCUGCUGAGAUGAAGAUGACACGUUUGGGUGGAGAAGCAGAGGAGGGCAAAGGAGAGGCAGGCUGCUUGUGUGAAAUCGAGGCAGAAAGAUGGUUCUACAGCUCCCAAAAGAACAUGUCAAACCCUUUGGUAGACAGAUUUCAUUCUUUCACUAAGAUGGGAGAGUUGUGGAGGUGCAGGGCUGUGGAAUGUUGGACUGCAAGGAGCUGCUCAGAAUGGGAAGUGGGGACGUAGUUCCAGGCAUCUGCCUGGCUGGGGAGGGCCUGACGUCCAGGAGCUGCAGAGGAAGCCUGUAUGCCUGCUCCCAACCUGCCACCAAGAUCAUCCUUUGUACAUAGCCAUGUUGAUACCCUUUCUUUGUGAUAGAGAGGAGCUAAAGCUAAACAGUUUUCCUCUGUUCACAUGCGCAGAAGUGAAGACUGUAGGAAAAUGCAAAGCUCUUAGAGAAUGUAGUGGAGGGAAGAGAGUAGGUGGUCAUCCCCUCUUGCCACAGUAGACCAUGGGUUGUCUGAAUGCUCUUGGGUCUGAGUGGCAGAAGAUUGUUUAGGUGUGCACACCUGCACACUUCUGUGUGGCCUAAUUUUUUUAUUCAUCCAGGAUGAGCUUUGUUGCAGCUCCUCAGAUAUAGUAUGUUUCAUGGCUGGCUCUUUGUCUGGGGUCUUGAGGUGAUAAGAUCUCUUUGGUAUAAGGAUUUUCCCUACCGUGGUAUUUCUUUGUGUCCUUCUGGCUUCUGGUCUACUACUGCUGUAAAGGCCAGCUUUCCAAGUGUAUAUGGUGAAAACACAGUUUAAGCUGGGUCCUUCUUCCAGAACUGAAGUCCAGCAUGGGAAGAUGGGUUCAUACUGGCAUGUGUGGAGACGUGCGAAUGACAAUGCAUCCGGUUGCUUCUCCCAGAGAGUGCAUGUAGUCAUUUUAAAUGCCUAAUCUAUCUCCCCAAGCCUGGAGGUGCAUAUGAUGUGAUCUCAUAUAGGUACCUGAUGGCCUCUUGCUGGGUGCUACUGUAUCAGUAGCAGUAGUUGGCAAUGGCGUUGUCUGGCUAGGGGAGAGAGAGAGAGAGAGAGAGAGCAGGAAAACCAGCCUUACCUCAUUGAUUGCAGUUUAUUGACAUUAGGAAAUUCAUUGUCUGCAAAAGAAGUUGGUAAUAAUUGAGUGAGUUAAUAAAUAAGGAAUGUGUGUGUACAUAUUAGACAGUAAAUAACUUACUGGCUUCUUGAUUGCCCCAGCAUUUUGUUUCACUCUUCAUACAACAUGUGAAGUGGGCUGAUGGUGGGCAGAGCGUAGUAGGGGAUGUAUCAUACUCACCUGGGGAGGAGACGGUCCCCACAAACCUUGGCUUUUCCUAGGGUGCUGGUGUGUGUGUCUGAGCCUGUUCCCAGGGGCGAGGAGGUUGUUUAAUGCUUGUAGUGCCAUUUUCCAACAAAAGAGAGAUGUGUUUAAAAAUAGCAACAGCCCUUUGCGUUUGACUAUUUUUUUAGGCAUUUUAAGAAAGAGCUGUGGCCCUUUGUCUGGGAGAUGAGGAAGAUGACCUGCUCUUCAAGGUCCUAGUUAGCUCCUCUGGGACAGUGGAAGGGCUCCUGUUGGUCCCCCUUCUCUUCCUGGAUGCGUGUGUUAAUUGUCCCCUCUUCACACACUUCGUGGUUCGUUUCAGAGAUGUGUUUUGCUUAAUGGGAGCUGGGAAAAGUGUGGUGCAUAAAGGAAAUACCUCCCUUGGCCAGAUAAACCCCGCAUUUGUCAGCAAGACAAUUCUCUUUUGUCUGGUUGCCAUUGAUGCCUGGGUUUGGGGCAGGGGGCUCAGGGGUGCCAGUGUGUGUCUGUGUGUACCACUGUGAAAACCCAGGUUUAGCCAUUUGCGUACAGACUACAGCAGCAUUAUAAUUUUUAAUUGCACUUUCAUUUGUUAUUCUCUCCCUUUCCCCCACCCCUCUCUCUGUAUAAUCUGGAUCAUUGCUCUCUGUAGCUGAUUCCGUGGGAGACCAAGCAGAGUGCGUGGGUGCAGAAUAUAGAAAGCCAGAGCCAUAGAAUCUGUUAUUUGCGUCAUUCUAGGAGACGGGGCUGUUUGCCUGACAAAUAUACAGAAUUAAUCCUGGUUUUAUCAAUAUCUGUCUUUUGCUACAGUAGCCAAAUACAAGUGUAAGGUGGCAGGGGGACUAGCUGCUGCUGCUGUUGUUGGUCAGAUUGGGGGGGAACAAGGGGGGUGAGAGGGGGAGAGAGGAAUAAAGGACGUUAAAUAUAUUCAGCUACCCCCAUGCUGUUUGCCUUACAAAUAUUAAAAAAACGGAGAUUUUUAUCCAAAUUGCUAACCACGAGAAGGGGCGGGGGCGGGGGGGGGAUUUUCUUGCAAGGUCUGGCUAUGCAGAUUGCUCUCCCUGGCUGUAUUUCUGCAUAGGAUAUGUGUGUGUUUUUUAAGAAAUAUCUCCCUGUCCCCAGUGCAUAUUGUCCCCGUCCUGUUCCCCCCCCCCUUCCCCCCUUGCUUACAAACACACAUAUGCACAACCCUCUGGAUUUUUGUGCAACUGUACGGAGAGCUGCACAACACAAAAUAUAGAGUUUGCUAAUUAACUCCUUUCCUCGAAUUGAGGUGCCUUACUGCAAGCACAAAGCUCCAAGCACAGACAUCUUUUAUGAUGAACUAGAGCCUCUGAAGAGGAGAAUCUGAACGUGACGUCAAUAGCUGAUAACUGACGCAGCCGUGCAAAGGAGUCUCAGGCUGGCUCCUUGCAGCCUGCAAGCCCUAAUGAUUCUAUUUUUUACCCAGUCCCCCCUCGUAGUGAAUUACUAGAACGCAAACACACACACACCUUUUUUUUUCAUAUAUAUAUUUAUAGAUACUUUAUUCUCCAAACAAAUGAUUUUUAAGGGGGAAAGGCACUGGGCAUGGAGGAGAGAAUUAAAUAUAUACAUACAGAUAUAUAUAAAAAGAAACAACCCUUCUUUGUGCUGCGUGCAAUUCACUAUAUGAAACCAUCUCUAUCUCUCGGCAAAGCAAGCAUCCCUGUUUGAAAUCCCCAUUUGUGCAUGAUGGCAAACUGAUGCAUGGUGAUUGUUGUGUUUUUUCCAAAGCCUACUUUCUAAAGACACUACAAGAAGACAGACACAAUAAUGCUUGCAAGGCAACAGGCAGAGAGACAGACUCAAUACAACUGUGGAUUAGGGGUUCGUGCAAUAGGACAGCAUGGAAGGCGGUGCGGCCGCGCCGUCCAGGCCGGAGGCGACGCGGGAGCAGCGAAGGCCGCAGGCAGGGAGCGUGGCACAGCCCAUGUUCCGGACAGAAGGACGGCCGUCCAAGGGAAGCGAGCAUCACUCCUCAGCCUGCUGCUGUCUAGCUCGCUUGCACCUGUAAGCUCUCUGGAGCAGGGAUGAUCAGCUCUUUUGUGGUUAUUCAGUGUUUGGUUUGGCCACCUUCCAUGCGAUGGAGCAAUGUAGCUGAGUUGCAGGUUGACUUAAGAUUGCAUCACCACCCUGAACCAGAUUGCAUCUGCAGUCAUCUGGAACUGACUACAUGCUCGAACUGAUAAAAGAUGCUGUGGGAAUGUGAAACUCUGGGACCUUGGCAAGAUGCUUUUGUCAUAUCCUGUCUCUUUAUUGCCUGGUCCGCUGGAAGACAAAAGAGUGAGAAUCAGCGCCCUGUUAUUAUCCUGCAAACAGCGUGAGAAGUGCUUUGAGGGCCAAUAGAAGAAAAUAGUGCGUUGUGGCCACAGCAAGUGCAUGCUUUUUCUAACAAUGUAGAGUUGCACUCCUCCAAGGAGGAGUGGUGCUUGAACCUCCUUCUGAUUACCUGUGUUCUUUUCUCUUACUGUAACAGCAUUGUUUCUUUCCAACACACACAUCUUCACGCAGAAAUGCCAAGAUUGUCCAUGCAGAUUAAAGUAUGCUUACAAAUUAAGGAAUAGCUGGUAUGGAACGAAAGGAAAAUUAAAUUGUCCCAGCAGUUUUGUUUUGCACUUCCUGUAAUAAAGUCCUGUCUGUGGCAGGUGUUUUGCAGGAUACACACUCCAUGAGGCCUAUGCGAAUUUUCCUUAUGUAAAGACUUCAGGAACUAGCCCUAGGUAAUCACACUGUUAGGUCGCUCUUGAGAAGAAGCAGAAAGAAAACCUGGUGAGAGUUUGAUCCUCUGUGUGUCACCUUUCACAAUUGAGUGACUGACAAACGAAAAAAAGGUGAGCUAAAUCACCCUGAGAAUGGGUGCCUCCUGUUGUGGAUUAGAAUGAAAUCCAGUUAUAUGCUCCCUCCCAUUAUAUCUGAUACAACUUCUGUAUCAUAAAGAUUAACAUCUAACUGUAAACCUGUAGGUGAGCCAAUAAGAUGACUUGACAAAUUUUUCAUUGCAAGGUGUAUGACAGUUUCAUGCCUUGAAUGAGCAUCACCACAGACAGUGUAUUGUUGAAUGCAAGUUCGAAUCCCACUAUGAAUUUGUUUUGCACAGUAGAUUAUGAACAGAGACCUUUGAUUUCUAUUAAUUAUGGAUCUUUGAGUGAAAAGCUAUUGUGUAUAUAUUUACAUUUAAUAACAGGAAAUGUAACAUUUAUUAAAGUAAUAAAACAGAUAAACCUAUGAAA